GACGAACGCUGGCGGCGUGCUUAACACAUGCAAGUCGAACGGAAAGGCCCUGCUUUUGUGGGGUGCUCGAGUGGCGAACGGGUGAGUAACACGUGAGUAACCUGCCCUUGACUUUGGGAUAACUUCAGGAAACUGGGGCUAAUACCGGAUAGGAGCUCCUGCUGCAUGGUGGGGGUUGGAAAGUUUCGGCGGUUGGGGAUGGACUCGCGGCUUAUGAGCUUGUUGGUGGGGUAGUGGCUUACCAAGGGUUUGACGGGUAGCCGGCCUGAGAGGGUGACCGGCCACAUUGGGACUGAGAUACGGCCCAGACGCCUACGGGAGGCAGCAGUGGGGAAUAUUGCACAAUGGGCGGAAGCCUGAUGCAGCAACGCCGCGUGCGGGAUGACGGCCUUCGGGUUGUAAACCGCUUUCGCCUGUGACGAAGCGUGAGUGACGGUAAUGGGUAAAGAAGCACCGGCUAACUACGUG
rnacentral:rRNA from 1 species